GAGCGAACGCUGGCGGCAGGCUUAACACAUGCAAGUCGAGCGGGCGCAGCAAUGCGUCAGCGGCAGACGGGUGAGUAACGCGUGGGAACGUACCUUUUGGUUCGGAACAACACAGGGAAACUUGUGCUAAUACCGGAUAAGCCCUUACGGGGAAAGAUUUAUCGCCGAAAGAUCGGCCCGCGUCUGAUUAGCUAGUUGGUAGGGUAAUGGCCUACCAAGGCGACGAUCAGUAGCUGGCUGAGAGGAUGAUCAGCCACAUUGGGACUGAGACACGGCCCAAACUCCUACGGGAGGCAGCAGUGGGGAAUAUUGGACAAUGGGCGCAAGCCUGAUCCAGCCACGCCGCGUGAGUGAUGAAGGCCCUAGGGUUGUAAAGCUCUUUUGUGCGGGAAGAUAAUGACGGUACCGCAAGAUAAGCCCCGGCUAACUUCGUGCCAGCAGCCGCGGU
rnacentral:rRNA from 1 species